GAUGAAGAACGUAGCGAAAUGCGAUAAGUAAUGUGAAUUGCAGAAUUCAGUGAAUCAUCGAAUCUUUGAACGCACAUUGCGCCCAUUAGUAUUCUAGUGGGCAUGCCUGUUCGAGCGUCAUUAAUUCCACUUAAGCCCUGCUUAGUGUUGGGAAUCUACUCUAGUGGUGCUACCCUGGAGCUACCCCUGAAAGGGGGCUGGCCCGGUAGCUACCCUGUAGUUCCUCAAAGAUAGUGCGCGGAGUUGCGUGGUCCUCUGAGCUUAGUAACUAUACACCUAGCUUUUGAGUGUCCCCCGGCGCCUGCCGUUUAAACCCCAUCUUUUAAUGGUUGACCUCGGAUCAGGUAGGAAUACCCGCUGAACUUAAGCAUAUCAAUAAGCGGAGGA
rnacentral:misc_RNA from 1 species